GAAGAGGAAGUUCAUCAGAUUUUAAGACGCUCCAGGGGCAGGCUAGGGAUUUCACCCAUGAACCCUAAUAUCCGAUUAUAUAGCUUGUAAAUGAAUCGUCUUGCAAUUGAGACGUGAAGAUAGAAAGGCAGAUUGAAUGCGAAUGAUGGUGGGAGUCUCCAGGUUGCAGAUGAAGCAUCAUGUGUUUCAUUAUCAACAACGGUAGCGGUUAGCACGAAGCCAAUCGUUUUGGUUUUGCAGUUCCCGAGCAACAAGCAGGAAUCUUAUGAAUCCAAAUCAAGCCCAGGCUGAGUUUAGGUGUCCCAAAUUUCCUGUCAUUUUGAUAAAAUGGAAUAAAGUAAUUCGUUUUCCCCAAAUAUAUAUACCUAAAUUUGUGGUUACACACACCCAGAUCAAAUUUUCCUAAACCACACUUGUACACAUGGGUUUCCUUUGAUUUUGAUCUAAACUCAUAGAAAAUCAUCGCUUUAAAGUC